rnacentral:rRNA from 1 species
UUCCGGUUGAUCCUGCCGGAGGCCAUUGCUAUCGGGGUCCGAGUUAGCCAUGCUAGUCGCACGGGUUCAGACCCGUGGCGAAUAGCUCCGUAACACGUGGCCAAACUACCCUCUGGAGGGGGAUACUCUCGGGAAACUGAGGCUAAUCCCGCAUACUCCUGGCGACCUGGAAUGGUGCCAGGCACAAACGCUGAGGCGCCAGAGGAUGUGGCUGCGGCCGAUUAGGUAGACGGUGGGGUAACGGCCCACCGUGCCGAUAAUCGGUACGGGUUGUGAGAGCAAGAGCCCGGAGACGGAAUCUGAGACAAGAUUCCGGGCCCUACGGGGCGCAGCAGGCGCGAAACCUUUACACUGCACGCCAGUGCGAUAAGGGGACCCCGAGUGCGAGGGCAUAUCGUCCUCGCUUUUCUGUACCGUAGGGAGGUACACGAAUAAGGGCUGGGCAAGACCGGUGCCAGCCGCCGCGGUAAUACCGGCAGCCCGAGUGAUGGCCGAUGUUAUUGGGCCUAAAGCGUCCGUAGCCGGCCGGGCAAGUCCGUCGGGAAAUCCACGCGCUCAACGCGUGGGCGUCCGGCGGAACCUGCCCGGCUUGGGACCGGAAGAUCCAGCGGGUACGUCCGGGGUAGGAGUGAAAUCCUGUAAUCCCGGACGGACCGCCGAUGGCGAAAGCACGCUGGAAAGACGGAUCCGACGGUGAGGGACGAAAGCUAGGGUCUCGAACCGGAUUAGAUACCCGGGUAGUCCUAGCCGUAAACGAUGCUCGCUAGGUGUGGCUCCCGCUACGAGCGGGUGCUGUGCCGUAGGGAAGCCGCUAAGCGAGCCGCCUGGGAAGUACGUCCGCAAGGAUGAAACUUAAAGGAAUUGGCGGGGGAGCACUACAACCGGAGGAGCCUGCGGUUUAAUUGGAUUCAACGCCGGG